GGGGUUGUGGCUCAGUGGUAGAGUGCGCGCCUCGCAUGUGCGCGAGACCCUGGGUUUGAUCCCCAACACCA
rnacentral:tRNA from 1 species